GACAGAGGGGGCAAGCGUUGCUCGGAAUUACUGGGCGUAAAGGGCUCGUGAGCGGCCAACUAAGUCGGAUGUGAAAUCCCCAAGCUUAACUUGGGAACUGCAUCCGAUACUGGAUGGCUUGAAUCCGGGAGAGGGAUGCAGAAUUCCAGGUGUAGCGGUGAAAUGCGUAGAUAUCUGGAGGAAUACCGGUGGCGAAGGCGGCAUCCUGGACCGGCAUUGACGCUGAGGAGCGAAAGCUAGGGGAGCAAACGGG
rnacentral:rRNA from 1 species